UCGACUAGCUACCAUAACGGUUACGGAGUGUGUGGGCAGGUGACUAGCACUGGCAGCUACCAUAACAUCCUACAUAUCAUUAUCUCACAUCGCCUAGGGUAAGGAUUUAUGGGUUUUGUUUUGUGGUUAUUGGUAUUUUUAGGUAUACGAAAACUAUUGGAUUUGAAUUUGGGGGACGAUAUUCUUUUUAAGUGGUGGAGAAUGUGACAAUCCAAAUUUUUAAGACUUUAAUUUAUAUUUAGUUGUCAUAAUUAAUCUUUCUUUUGGUUGAAGACUUACCUAAUUGGAGAUGGGAUUAUUGAUUAUUUAAUUGGACACUUCCGGUUUAUAAUUUUCCGUUGCAUAUUGUUUAGAUUAUAUUUGAUUGAUGAGGUAGGCAUAUCCCAGCCGAAAUUAAAGACCAAAAAAAAAAAGAGGCAAAAUUGGUGAUAUUUUCGUGGGCCCAGUGGAGGUAUUAAUUGGGUUAAUUAGUUUUGUUACUUAUUUAAUAUAUAUAUUUGUAACACUGAUGCAUUAGGAGAUGCAUCUGCCGGAAGCAAAGAGAAAUAGGGGAAAAAAAAGAAAAAAAAAAAGAAAGAAUGAAAUUGUUAUAAUAGUAUUUUUGGCGGGUCCCAUUUGAUGUUGCAUUUGUAUAAUAGAUAUAUAAAUGUUAUGUUUUAUGGUGAUAGGAAAAUGAGAGAGCAGCCGACGUCAAUGAGAGAAAGGAAAGAGAUUUGGUAAUGUGAUGAUGGUGGUUCGAGUCCUACUUAGAUUUUAAUGGGUUUGGUUUGUUGCAUUAUAUAUAUAUAUAUAUAUAUAUAUAUAUAUAUAUAUGCAUUUGAUGAUGGGUCAAUGGUGCUUGUUAAAAAGAAAGAAAAAAACAAGGUGGUAAAUGGUGAGGUUGAAAUGAUGGGUGUGGAGCCCACUAGUGUUUUACUUGGGCAAAACUUGGGCUUUGGCAAUGCACAGCUCAUAUUUGUUGCUUAUGAGAUGAUAUAUAUAGGAAGUACAGAAAGUGAUUUGAUGAAGGAAAAGAUAGAUACAAAAAAAAAAAAAAAAGUAAUGAUUAUUUUUGACUUUGGCCACUUUAUUCAAGUGGGUUUUGAUGGCUGGCAUUUUGUUUGAGUGGUGAGCGUUUUUGUUGGGAGUCAAUGGAAUUGCCUUUAUAAAGAGUGUGUUUUGCAACUUUGGUAAUGAUACAAAGUGAAAGAAAAAUAGAGGAAAACAAAGUGAGCCGAGAGAGACACAGAGAGACGAGAGUUAUAGAGAGAGUCCGUGAGGUUGCGGAGGAGGCCGGAAGCUUGAGGCUUUGAUAAUUUGGACUCGGGAAAGAAGUAGGAGACGCAGACCCUUCAUAAACUUAAAGAGGACUGGGAAUAUAUAUUUUAUAUUUUUACUACUUUUGUAUAUUUGCUACACUUUUGUAAAGUCUUAAAACCAUAGUGAAGUGUAUGCAUUUUGCAAGCCAUGGUCAUGUAUUGUAAACUAUAACUUUUGUUGGUAUUUUGAGGGGAAGUGAGACUAUGUAAAUAUUUUGUGUUGAAUGGAAUGAUGAUGAUGAUGGGCCAUCUUGAGGA